UACGUAGGGUGCAGGCGUUAAUCGGAAUUACUGGGCGUAAAGCGUGCGCAGGCGGUUUGCUAAGACAGGUGUGAAAUCCCCGGGCUUAACCUGGGAACUGCGCUUGUAACUGGCAAGCUUGAGUGUGGCAGAGGGGGGUGGAAUUCCAGGUGUAGCAGUGAAAUGCGUAGAGAUCUGGAGGAACACCGAUGGCGAAGGCAGCCCCCUGGGCCUGCACUGACGCUCAUGCACGAAAGCGUGGGGAGCAAACAGG
rnacentral:rRNA from 1 species